GUGAGGAAUAUUGGGCAAUGGGCGAAAGCCUGACCCAGCCACGCCGCGUGAGUGAUGAAGGCCUUCGGGUUGUAAAGCUCUGUGGGGAGGGAAGAAAAAGCGGGAGAGUAACUGCUCUCGUGUUGACGGUACCUCCUUAGCAAGCACCGGCUAACUCUGUGCCAGCAGCCGCGGUAAUACAGAGGGUGCAAACGUUGCUCGGAAUUACUGGGCGUAAAGCGGGGGUAGGCUGACAUGCAAGUCGGGUGUGAAAUCCCAGGGCUAAACCUUGGAACUGCACUCGAAACUGCACGUCUUGAGUACUGGAGAGGGAAGCGGAAUUCCGGGUGUAGAGGUGAAAUUCGUAGAUAUCCGGAGGAACACCAGUGGCGAAGGCGGCUUCCUGGACAGUAACUGACGCUGAGACGCGAAAGCGUGGGGAGCAAACAGGAUUAGAAACCCCAGUAGUCC
rnacentral:rRNA from 1 species